UCCUUUGUUGGGAAAACAGGAAGCGAGGGUUUCCAUGACCUUCUAGCCACCCGCCGGCCGCCUGCCCCAGCUUCCGCUGAUUCUCAGCAGCCUCUGCCAGCCAUCAGCUGCUGCUCUGUCCAUCCACUUUUAGUCCAUUCCUCUGAAUGGUGCCCAGGCGACCAGCUUUGGGACAGAUCAGCCUGUCAAAGUUCAUGGGCAGGGGUAGGUCUCCUGGAGAGCAUCUCCUGCCGGUGGUGCUCCCAGUCACACAGGAAGGAACACCUUCAGUGCUCCAGGUGCCCGGGUGCAGGGGAGCUGAGCCCCGGGCUUGUAGCUGCCUGAGUGCAGCUGCCCGAGGCCGGCCUAGAGGAGCCCAGGAGCGUGAGUGUGAGCGGUCUCUGUCAGGUCCUGAUGGCGUGAUGCCCCCAGGGUGUCCAGGAGCUAACCCAAGGAGCAAGGGCCUGGGCACAGCUGUGUGCCAGGGACAGCUGGCCAGGCCUUGGGAGGGGCCGAAACACCCAGAGGCCCCCAAGAUGCAUACCUUCUCCCCACCUGGUAUGAUCCUGGGGUCAGAGUUCACUGUGUCCCUGCUGCCCAGGCCAGAAUCCACCCAUGGCCUAGACACUGCUCUGUUCACUAGUGGUUCCUUCCUGAUGUGGGUGGCUGGGCACACCUGUGUUCACAUAUGCACCAACACCACACACGCCACAGUUGUGCUCAGUGUCCUCACGUGCACACGCAUGGGACACACAUGCUCACACACCCACACCAUACCACACUCAGGCAGGCACCUCUCCAAUCCUCUGCAGUGCGCAGACCCAAGGCUCCCCAGAGGUUCACUGGACAGGGAGUGAAUGAAUGAACCACCGUCCACCCAGCCCUCCAGCUCCUCCCUGCACCUCCGCCUGGCGGAGGAUGGACGUGUGUGUGUGUGUGUGUGUGUGUGAAAUGUGUGUGCGAGCUGCUCUCCGCAGCGCUGGGCCCCACGCAGACACCCUCCCAGGCAACAGAGGCUGCCUGUGGGAGGGGAUAAGGCCCAACAGGCAGAGCAUGUGACUCUGGAGCUGCAGGCAGCACCGAGGUGUCUGGGUGGCUGAGGCCACCGCCCUCCCUUCUGGAGACACAAAGCCGCAGCUGUCCCCCCGCCACAGUGGGCCCAUGCAGGGCAGUGUUGUAAGGGCAGCUGGGUCCAGGCUGAGGCCCCAGAGAGGAGGGUCAGGGCCCAAUGGACUCGCCCACUGUGGUGAGGUCACCUGAUAGAGUGGGCAGUGUGAGGACCCCUAGUGCCCACCACAGCCUCCAGGCCGAGAGUUGGCCUCCGUGUCCAGAUCCCUGUGUCAGGGGUCCUGUCAUCCCACAUAGAAGAAAGCCUCAGUCCCU
rnacentral:lncRNA from 1 species